UUUAUCAGCUUGUUUGAUAGGCCUAACGCAUGCAGCGUGUUCAUAGGCCCGAUGUCCUCCCGUAUAGCGGCCAGCAGCGCCAUAACGUCCACUUCUUCAGCAUCGUACUGAGC